AGGUGAAGUAGUCAGUUAUCUGUUCAUUUUUUUCACUCAAAAAUAUUUGAGAGCCAACCAUGUGCCUGUAUUGUCCUUGGCAUUGAGGAUACAACUGUGAAACAAGGAGAUACGUGGUUGACAGAUUGUUCAAUUGAAUGAUGGCUAGAUAAGGCUACUUUAGAUAGUAGUAAGGACUAAGGAAAAAUAAAAUUGAAAAAUGGGAUAGAAAGAGAUUG